CCUCCCGUCUUCACACUUUACUCUGCCCACCACUCUCCAGGAGGCCUCUUCCCUGAAGCUCCUAUAAAUGGACUUCUUGAUGACUCCUUCCUGACAGGACCCUGUGACAAGACACAGCUGUGGCCGUCCUAGAACAUUCCAUCGUAUAACUUGAUUUUUAAAGUUAACAAUAUUCCACUAUAGGAAUCUUUUAAUCCCAGUAAAUGUAAUUUCACAUCCUCGUUAUUUUGAUUGAUAAAAUAUCCAGUAGGAUUUAGUUAAAUCCCACAAACAAUUAUUGAGGUGCAUACAGGACACAUUCCUGCCCUUGAGUAUGCCGUGAUGCUACGUGGGCCUUACCACACACAUGGAACAACCGGGAGGAAAGUAAAAGGUGUCAUGAAGGAGAUUCACCAAGAGCCAGAGGUGGGGCCCAGAGAACAGUGUCCUGGAGGGGGCGGCAGUGUCUUUGGUGUGCAGGACAAGACUGAGGCUGACCGGAACUAGAGGCUGAAAGCCAUCCCAGGCAAGAGCUCCUGCUGGAAGA
rnacentral:lncRNA from 1 species